rnacentral:rRNA from 1 species
CCUACGGGGUGCAGCAGUGAGGAAUAUUGGUCAAUGGCCGGAAGGCUGAACCAGCCAUGCCGCGUGAAGGUCAGUGCCCUAUGGGCGUUAAACUUCUUUUGUGCGGGAGCAAUAAUGGUCACGUGUGGCCAGACGAGAGUACCGUACGAAUAAGCAUCGGCUAACUCCGUGCCAGCAGCCGCGGUAAUACGGGGGAUGCAAGCGUUAUCCGGAUUUAUUGGGUUUAAAGGGUGCAUAGGCUGUGAGUUAAGUCAGCGGUGAAAUGCCCCCGCUCAACGGGGUGAAGUGCCAUUGAUACUGCCGUGCUGGAAUGCGGAUGCCGUGGGAGGAAUGUGUGGUGUAGCGGUGAAAUGCAUAGAUAUCACACAGAACACCGAUUGCGAAGGCAUCUCACGAAUCCGCGAUUGACGCUGAUGCACGAAAGCGUGGGUAUCAAACAGGAUUAGAUACCCGUGUAGUC